rnacentral:lncRNA from 1 species
UAGUUUUCAAAGACCAUGCCACAAUAAAAAUUACUCCAAGGCAAGCUGAGGUUCAGUGAGUAUUAGAAGUGCAUUUGAAGGUAGGAACUACCUACUCUGUAACCUGUCAGAGAAUCAAGAAUUUCCUUCUUUUUUGUGUUCUUCUUGGGUGCCGUGGCCUUGGCCCGGUCUAAUGUAGCUUGGCUGCAGACUAAUCUUUUGUAUCAUUUCUUGCAGAUAGUACUUCCAUGGACAAGUCCCUGUCAAAACUGACCCAUGCUGGUGGAGAGCAGACAUCAAUCAUCCCUGUCCAUCAGGUUAUUGAUAAGGUCAAGGGUUACUGUAAUGCUCAUUCUGAUAACUUCUAUAAAAAUAUCAUCCUGUCAGAUGCCUUCAGCCACAGCACAAAGUUUUAAUGUCAUUGACAGGGGAAACAAAGGGGAAAGAAAACCUGUCUGGAGAAGUGUGAUGCUGGACAAGCAGCAAAAGCUACGCCCAAGGGAUGACAGUGUGCUGCUCCAUAGGAAACUCCAGAGCUUAGAGGACCUACUACAUCUUGUUAGGGAAGCAUCUGUGAGAUGCAGAAUUUAUCUGUUUUUGGAUUGCUUCUGUGGGCAAGCUCAGAUAUCACACUUCAGAACUGAGAACACUCUGAGCCCUGCAAGGAUACGGGACUUUUCAGAAUGCAAUUGAAUCAAACUCAUCAGAAUGAGAGGAAAGGCAUUAAAAUUAAAGGCUAUGAGAGGAAGAAAUUCGACUUCAGACCUCUUAUACCACACCUCAUUGUUAGGCUCGGAUGUGGCCUGACUCUCAUAAAGGUGUUGUAGAAAACACACUAAUUCCUGUUUGUGGUGACUUUGGAUGCUCACGGGCUCUGCUCCAAUGCUAUUUUCUAUGAAUAUAGCAGCAUCUUUUCCUUUUUCGGUAAAAUU